GUCUACAGCCAUAAUGACCCUGAAAGUGCCUGAUCUCUUCCGAUCUCAGGAGCUAAGCAGGGUGGGACCUGUUAGUGCUCGUGUGGGAGAAA
rnacentral:rRNA from 1 species